rnacentral:lncRNA from 7 species
GCUGCUGCUUUUGAGGAUCGUAACAUGGAUCCAAGAUGAGCUCAGCGUUAGGUCAGAGUGAUCCUCCUUCGUCGACUUCGAUCAGUCCCGUCCCGGAGCCUGAAGGUGAUCGAUCCGGACUCCAGCCCUCGGUUUCAGGAAUCUCGGAAAGCGUGGUUGGCCAUGAGUAUACGUUUCCAUUUGCGAGACUAUCACAACACACGAUUGCCAAUUGUCGCCACUUACCGAACGAGAAUUCAGAGAAUUAUUGGGUGUCAGGUAUGGUAAGGCUGCACUCCGUACAGCAGUCCAAGAUAUCAGCCCG